rnacentral:misc_RNA from 1 species
CUAAGGAAACAAUUAUCAUCUUCAGUUUUGAGAGACUUAAGAAAGUUUUUCAUUGUCACUUGCUUGCAAAUUGUAUUUGCAACAUUUUAAUCUUUUUAAGAUUAAGGGCCUAUAGCUCAGUUGGUUAGAGCACACGCCUGAUAAGCGUGAGGUCGGUGGUUCAAGUCCAUUUAGGCCCACCAUAACCACAAAUAGGCAAAAUCUUAAAAAAGCUCUU